rnacentral:lncRNA from 1 species
GAAGGAUUGCAUCCUUCCCCUCAAGGUCCUCCACUCACCCUUCAAUCUCAGCUAUUUGGGCCUCACAUCUCCGUAAUCGAUGGUCGGUGGAGAAAAUCGGAGAUGCAAUCCAUAGCCCUUGCAGGGAAUCAUCAACUGGAUGUGCUCCACCCAUUGCUGUGCCUCCUCCUGAGGUAGGAUUGGGAUCCAAGGUCGAGGAUGAUG